rnacentral:rRNA from 1 species
GACAGAGGAUGCAAGCGUUAUCCGGAAUGAUUGGGCGUAAAGCGUCUGUAGGUGGCUUCUUAAGUCUGCUGUCAAAUCCCAGGGCUUAACCCUGGCCAGGCGGUGGAGACUACUAAGCUUGAGUACGGUAGGGGCAGAGGGAAUUUCCGGUGGAGCGGUGAAAUGCGUAGAGAUCGGAAAGAACACCAAGGGCGAAGGCACUCUGCUGGGCCGACACUGACACUGAGAGACGAGAGCUAGGGGAGCAAAUGGG